AUGAAGCAGAAUGAAUUGUAUGAAGGGUUGAGGAAGGUCAUGUAUCCAGCUAUUCGAAAGGAUAUUGAUGAGUCAAUGAUGAUGCAGAAGACUCCAAUGGGAGGGGAGGUGGGCUUGGAGGAUGCUUAUUGCGCGACAACACCGCACAAGAGUAGUUGUGCAUUAGCUGACCCCAACGACACUGAGACUGCAACUGCUCAUGAUGAUGCUAUAUCUGAUCUAUCUGGAAUGAAAGACAGACUGAAGGGCAUGCUUACACAUUAUGAAGGUACAUUAAAAUGUGCAACAGCCUGGGUUUGCCCAACCUUCUUGGAAGAGGGCCUCUUGUUGGACAACAUGCCAUUGAAGCCGGGCUGUGUGAAGUGCUACAUGACUGAAGUAAAGCCUGGAUUCAAUGAAUUUGCCGUGAAGAAUGUCCUAGGAGACUUUGAUGAGCAAAGGAACUUGGGAGAAACACUAUUACAUCACAUCCAGUGGCCACGAAAGGAAACACAGUUCAUCGAUGAGAUCCCUGAAGCCCCGCCAAGAGCAACCAAUGUCGCCCCUCAACCGGCGGCGCUCUCGUUGCCACAACAGCUCUCAUGUGCUUCCCCCAAAGAACCUAAUACUCGUAAUCCGACGGCUGAUGCAUCAACCUGUGAUCCGCCGGCCCGACUUUCUGCCGUACAGGCCAUGUCAUCGUUCGCCCCGGAGCAGCCAGUGGCAAGGCCUAGAACUGCUGAAGACACACCACCGGUUCAGAUGCCGGUCGCUAAAGCAGCGGGGGGAGACCCAGCUGCCGCACAUGCUUAG
rnacentral:rRNA from 1 species